rnacentral:rRNA from 1 species
CUACGGGAGGCAGCAGUAGGGAAUCUUCCGCAAUGGACGAAAGUCUGACGGAGCAACGCCGCGUGAGCGAUGAAGGCCUUCGGGUCGUAAAGCUCUGUUGUUAGGGAAGAACAAGUAUCGGAGUAACUGCCGGUACCUUGACGGUACCUAACCAGAAAGCCACGGCUAACUACGUGCCAGCAGCCGCGG